rnacentral:rRNA from 1 species
GGAUUCCCCUAGUAACGGCGAGUGAAGAGGGAAAAGCUCAAAUUUUGAAUCUGGUGUCUUUGGCGCCCGAGUUGUAAUCUAGAGAAGUGUUUUCUGCCUUGGACCACACAUAAAUUCCCUGGAAUGGGGUGUCAUAGAGGGUGAGAAUCCCGUUUGUGGUGUGGACUACCUUGGCUCUGUGAUACACUCUCAACGAGUCGAGUUGUUUGGGAAUGCAGCCCAAAAUGGGUGGUAAAUUCCAUUAAAGCUAA